rnacentral:lncRNA from 1 species
CUCUGCCCCUGCAGGGAUGGAGCAAAAGAAGUUUUGAGAAUUCAAGAGAAGGUCGCGGCGAGACAAGCCAAUUUUCAUUAACGAUAGAUGUCAAGUGGAAGUGCAGUAAUGCAUGCAGCUGAUGCAUCCUAACAGACUGGUAGACUUGAACCUUUUUCUUACAUGACCUGAUCAAUUCAAUCAGGCAAUCACCAUCUAUUUUGAUUGUUCAACUCUUUGACAACAUAAAAAACCAAAACAUUUGU